rnacentral:lncRNA from 1 species
GUGGAGGCGAAGUAAACACUCCCCGACAGCGUAGGUCUGUCCAGAACCCGCCUCCGUCUUCACCCAAACACUGAAUGGCUGAGAUUUCCACUUCCGGGUUUCUGCUGGGGAGCUAUGGCGGCUGCAGAGGGCCGAAAGGUGUCUGCGCGCAUCUGCUCCCUGGCGCCCUCUCGAGGAGCCCCUGAGGAUUCGUGCCUCCCAGAGGUGGGGAAAGCCCGCCCGAGGCGCCGGUGCUGACGGUGGCGGGGCUGCCGGGCACGCUGUGGAACUGCCUCCCGCUAGAGCUGCGGGCUGGCGACGGUCCCGUGGGGGCGGGAAGCGGCUCAGGGUGCCCUCGCCGGCCUGCGGCGGCGCGUCUGGGAGCGCAGGCCACUCGUGCGCGGGUCACUCGGGGCUGUGCCUCGCGCGACUGUGUGUGCAGGAAACAAGGAGGAAAUACCCUAAAAUGGAAUGAAGCGCCAUGUUGAGGGCCGCGGAUGUCGCGAGUGCUGUGGGAAUGUGGGCUGAGGUGGAGAGUUAUGGUGGAGGAAGCUAGUCCUGUCUGAUGGAGGAAACAGGGCAGAGGCGUGGAGGGAGACGCACAGUGCUGGUGUGAGGAGCCGCGAGCAGGCCAGGCCUGUAAAGCAGCGUGAUGGGAACCAGGAUAGAGAAGGCAAGUCGGGGUCCUGUGGUCGCUGAAGAAUUUGAAUGAAAUCAGUAAACAGGUGAGAGGGAUCCAUCGCAAGAGCAUGGGAUGAAACGAGCAGUAGUCCACGGUGAUUCCUCUGCAGCGGCUGCAAAGUGCUCCAACUGUCAACUUGCAGAUUCUACAAAAAGAGUGUUUCCAAACUGUUGAAUCAAAAGAAAUUUUCAAAUCUGUGAGAUGAAAGCACACAUCACAAAGAAGUUUGUCAGAAUUCUUCUGUCUAGUUUUUAUGUGCAGAUAUUUCCUUUCCACCUUAGGCCUCAAAGCGCUCCAAAUGUCCACUUGCAGAUUCUAAAAAAGGAGAGUUUCAAAACUCCUCAAUCAAAAGGAAAGUUUAACUCUGUGAGAUGAAUGCACACAUCACAAAGAAGUUUCUCAGAUUGCUUCUGUCUAGAUGUUAUGUGAAGAUAUUUCCUUUCUACUAUAGGCUGCAAAGCGCUCUAAAUUUCCACUUGCAAAUACUAAAAAAAGAGUGUUUCCAAACUGCUCAAUCAAAAGAAAGGUUCAACUGUGAUCGAUGAAUGCACGCAUCACAAAAAAAGUUUCUCCAAUUUCUUUAGUCUAGUUUUUAUGUGAUGAUAUUUCCUUUUUAAUCAUAAGACUCAAAGCACUCCAAAUGUCCAUUAGCAGACUCUACAAAAAGAGAGUUUCAAAACUGCUCAAUCAAGAGAAAGUUUUAACUCUAUUAGAUGAAUGCACACAUCACAAAGAAGUUUCUCAGGUUGCUUCUGUGCAGAUUUUAUGUGAAGAUAUUUCCUUUUCUACCACAGGCCACAAAGUGCUCCAAAUGUCUACUUGCAGAUUCUACAAAAAGAGUGUUUCCAAACUGCUCAAUCAAAAGAAAUGUUGAACUCUGUGAGAUGAAUGCACGCAUCACAAAGAAGUUUCUCAGAUUGCUUCUGUCUAGAUUUUAUGUGAAGAUAUUUCCUUUUCUACCAAAGGCUGCAAAGCACUCCAAAUGUCCACUUGCAGAUUUUACAAAAAGAGUGUUUUCAAACUGCUCAAUCAAAAGAAAGGCUCAAGUCUGUGAGAUGAAUGCACACAUCACAAAGAAUUUUCUCAGAAUUCUCCUGUCUAGUUUUUAAGUAAAGAUAUUUCCUUUCCACCAUAGGCCUGAAGGCGCUCCAAAUGUCCAUUUGCAGAUUCUACAAAAAGAGUGUUUCCAAACUGCUUAAUAAAAAGAAAGGUUCAACUCUGUGAGAUGAAUGCACAUAUCACAGUGAAGUUUCUCAGAAUUCUUCUGUCUAGUUUUACAUGAAGAUAUUUCCUUUUCCAGCUGAGGCCUCAAAGUGCUCAAAUUGUCCACUUGCAGAUACUACAAAAAGAGAGUUUCAAAACUGCUCAGUCAAAAGAAAGGCUUAACUCUGUGAGAUGAAUGUACACAUCACAAGGAAGUUUCACAGAUUGCUUCUUUCUAGAUUUUAUGUGAAGAUAUUUCCUUUUCUACCAUAGGCUGCAAAGCGUUCCAAAUACCCACUUGCAGAUUCUACAAACAGAGGCUUUCCAAACUGCUCAAUAAAAAGAAAAGUUUAACUCUGUGAGAUGAAUGCACACAUCACAAAGAAGUUUCUCAGAAUUCUUCUGUCCAAUUUUUAUGUGAAGAUAUUUCCCUUUCCACCAUAAGCCUCAAAGCGCUCCAAAUGUCCACUUGCAGAUUCUACAAAAAGAGAGGUUCAAAACUGCUCAAUCAAAAGAAAGGUUUAACUCUAUGAGAUGAAUGCACACAUCAUAAAGAAGUUUCUCAGAUUGCUUCUCUCUAGAUUUGAUGGGAAGAUAUUUCCCUUUCUACCAUAGGCCCCAAAGUGCUCCAAAUGUCUACUUGCAGAUUCUACAAAAAGAGUGUUUCCAAACAGCUCAGUCAAAAGAAAGGCUUAACUCUGUGAGACGAACACACACAUCACAAAGAAGUUUCUCAGAAUUCUUCUGUCCAGUUUUAGUGUGAAGAUAUUUACUUUUCCACCAUAGGCCUCAAACCACUCCAAAUGUCCGCUUGAAGAUUCUACAGAAAGAGUUUCAGAACUGCUCAAUAAAAAGUAAGGUUUAACUCUGUGAGUUGAAUGCACACAUCACAAAGAAUUUUCUCAGAUUGCUUCUGUCUAGAUUUUAUGUGAAGGUAUUUCCUUUUCUACUGUAGGCCACAGAGCGCCCCAAAUGUACACUUGCAGUUUGUACAAAAAGAGUGUUUCCAAACUGCUCAAUCAAAAGAAAAGUUCAACUCUGUGAGAUGAACACACAUAUCACAAAGAAGUUUCUCAGAAUUCUUCUGUCUAGUUUUUAUGUGAAGAUAUUUCCUUUUCCACCAUAGGCCUCAAAGGGCUCCAAAUGUCCACUUGCAGAUUCUGCAAAAAGAGAGUUUCAAAACUCCUCAAUCAAAAGAAAUGUUUAACUCUGUGAGAUGAAUGCACACGUCACAGAGAAGUUUCUCAGAUUGUUUCUGUCUAGAUUUUAUGUGAAGAUAUUUACUUUUCUUCCAUAGGCUGCAAAGUGCUCCAAAUGUCAACUUGCAGAUUCUACAAAAAGAGUGUUUCCAAACUGUUGAAUCAAAAGAAAUUUUCAAAUCUGUGAGAUGAAAGCACACAUCACAAAGAAUUUUGUCAAAAUUCUUCUGUCUAGUUUUUAUGUGCAGAUAUUUCCUUUCCACCUUAGGCCUCAAAGUGCUCCAAAUGUCCACUUGCAGAUUCUAAAAAAGGAGAGUUUCAAAACUCCUCAAUCAAAAGGAAGGUUUAACUCUGUGAGAUGAAUGCACACAUCCCAAAGAAGUUUCUCAGAUUGCUUCUGUGUAGAUUUUAUGUGAAGAUAUUUCCCUUUCUACCGUAGGCCACAACGUGCUCCAAAUAUCCACUUGCAGAUUCUACAAAUAGAGUGUUUCUAAACUGCUCAAUCAAAGGAAAGGUUCAAAUCUGUGAGAUGAACAAACACAUCACAAACAAGUUUCUCAGAAUGCUUCUGUCUAGUUUUUAUGUGAAGAUAUUUCAUUUUCCACCAUAGACUCAAGACGCUCGAAAUGUCCACUUGCAGAUUCUACAAAAAGAGUAUUUUAAAGCUGGUCCAACAAAAGAAAGGUUCAACUCUGGGAGAUGAAUGCACACAUCACAAAGAAGUUUCUCAGAUUGCUUCUGUCUAGAUUUUAUGUGAAGAUAUUUCGUUUUCUACCACAGGCCACAAAGCACUCGAAAUGUCCACUUGCAGAUUCUACAAAAAGAGUGUCUCCAAACUGCUCAAUCAAAAGAAAGUUUCAAAUCUGUGAGAUGAACACAUACAUCACAAAGAAGUUUCUCAGAAUUCUUCUGUCUAGUUUUUAUGUGAAGAUAUUUCCUUUUCCACAUUAGACCUCUAAGCACUCCAAAUGUCCAUUUGCAGUUUCUAGAAAAAGAGAGGUUCAAAACUGCUCAAUCAAAAGAAACGUUUAACUCUGGGAGAUGAAGGCACACAUCCAAAGACGUUUCUCAGAAUGCUUCCGUCUAGUUUUUAUGUGAAGUUAUUUCCUUUCCACCAUAGGCCUCAAAGUGCUAAAAAUGUCCGCUUGCAGAUUCUACAAAAAGAGUUUCAAAACUGCUCAAUCAGAAGAAAGGUUUAACUCUGUGAGAUGACUGCACACAUCACAAAGAAAUUUCUCAGAAUUCUUUUGUCUACUUUUUAUGUGACGAUAUUUCCUUUUCGACCAUAGACGUCAAAGCGCUAAAAAUGUCCACUUGCAGAUUCUACAAAAAGAGAGUUUCAAAACUUCUCUAUCAGAAGAAAGGCUUAACUGUGUGAGAUGAAUACACACAUCACAAAGAAGUUUCUCAGAUUGCUUCUGUCUAGAUUGUAUGUGAAGGUAUUUCCUUUUCUACUGUAGGCCUCAAAGCACACAAAAUGUCCACUUGCAGUUUCCACAAAAAGAGUGUUUCCAAACUGCUCAAUGAAAAGAAAAGUUGAACUCUGUGAGAUGAAAGCACAUAUCACAAAGAAGUUUCUCAGAAUUCUUCUGUCUACUUUUUAUAUGAAGAUAUUUCCUUUUCCACCUUAGGCAUCAAAGCAUUAAAAAUGUCCACUUGCAGAUUCUACAAAAAGAGAGUUUCAAAACUCCUCAAUAAAAAGAAAUGUUUAUCUCUGUGAGGUGAAUGCACACAUCACAGAGAAGUUUCUCAGAUUGUUUCUGUCUAGAUUUUAUGUGAAGAUACUUCAUUUUCUUCCAUAGGACAAAAAGUGCUCCAGAUGUCCAUUUGUAGAUUCAACAAAAAGAGUGUUUCCAAACUGAUGAAUCAAAAGAAAUUUUCAAAUCUGUGAGAUGACAGCACACAUCACAAAGAAGUUUGUCAGAAUUCUUCUGUCUAGUUUUUAUGUGAAGAUAUUUCCUUUCCACCGUAGGCGUCAAAGCGCUCCAAAUGUCUACUUGCAGAUUCUACAAAAAGAGAGUUUCAAAACUCCUCAAUCAAAAUGAAGGUUUAACUCUAUGGGAAGAAUGCACACAUCACAAAGAAGUUUCUCAGAUUGCUUCUGUCUAGAUGUUAUGUGAAGAUAUUUCCUUUUCUACCAUAGGCUGCAAAGCGCUCUAAAUGUCCACUUGCAGAUUAAAAAAAAAAGUGUUUCCAAACUGCUCAAUCAAAAGAAAGGUUCAACUCUGAGCGAUGAAUGCACACAUUACAAAGAAGUUUCUCCAAAUUCUUCAGUCUAGUUUUUGUGUGAUGAUAUUUCCUUUUUAAUCAUAAGACUCAAAGCACUCCAAAUGUCCACUAGCAGAUUCUACAAAAAGAGAGUUUCAAAAUUGCUCAAUCAAGAUAAAGUUUUAACUCUAUGAGAUGAAUGCACACAUCACAAAGAAGCUUCUCAGAUUGCUUCUGUCCAGAUUUUAUGUGAAGAUAUUUCCUUUUCUACCAGAGGCUGCAAAGUUCUCCAAAUGUCUACUUGCAGAUUCUACAAAAAGAGUGUUUCCAAACUGCUCAAUCAAAAGAAAUGUUGAACUCUGUGAGAUGAAUGCACGCAUCACAAAGAAGUUUCUCAGAUUGCUUCUGUCUAGAUUUUAUGUGAAGAUAUUUCCUUUUCUAACAUAGGCCACUAAGCACUCCAAAUGUCCACUUGCAGAUUCUACAAAAAAGAGUGUUUCCAAACUGCUCAAUCAAAAGAAAGGUUUAACUCUGUCAGUUGAGUGCACACAUCACAAAGUAAUUUCUCAGAAUUCUUCUGUCUGUUUUUUAUGGGAAGAUAUUUCCUUUUCCACCAUAGGUGUCAAAGCGCCCCAAAUGUCCACUUGCAGAUCCUACAAAAAGAGAGUUUCAAAACUGCUCAAUGAACAGAAACGUUAAACUCUGAGAGACAAAUGCACACAUGACAAAGAAGUUUCUCAGAAUUCUUCUGUCUAGUUUUUAUGUGAAGAUAUUUCCUUUUCUACCAUAGGAAGCAAAGCACACCAAAUUUCCACUUGCAGAUUCUGCAAAAACAGUGUUUCCAUCCCGGUCAAUCAAAAGAGACGUUCAACUCUGUGCAAAGAAGGCACCCAUCACAAAGAAGUUUCUCAGAAUUCUUCUGUCUAAUUUUUAUGUGAAGAUAUUUCAUUUUCCACCAUAGGCCUCAAAGUACUCAAAAUGUCCACUUGCAGAUACUACAAAAGGAGUAUUUCAAGGCUGCUCCAUCAAAAGAAAUAUUCAACUCUGGGAGAUGAAUGCACACAUCACAAAGAAGUUUCUCAGAAUGCUUCCAUCUAGUUUUUAUUUGAAGAUAAUUCCAUUUCCACCAUAGGCCUCAAAGCACUACAAAUGUCCACUUGUAGACUCUACAAAAAGAGAGUCUCAAAACUGCUCAAUCAAGAGAAAGAGUUAACACUGUGAGAUGAAUGCACACAUCACAAAGAAGUUUCUCAGAUUGCUUCUGUCUAGAUUUUAUGUGAAGAUAUUUGCUUUUCUUCCAUUGGUUGCAAAGCGCUGCAAAUCUCCACUUGCAUAUUCUACAAAAAGAGUGUUUCCAGACUGCUGAAUCGAAAGAAAGGUUCAACUCUGUGAGAUGAAUGCACACAUCACAAGGACGUUUCUCAGAAUUCUUCUGUCUAGUUUUUAUAUGAAGAUAUUUCCUUUUUUACCAUAGGUCUCAAAGCGCUACAAAUGUCCACUUGUAGAUUAUACAAAAAGAGAGCUUCAACACUGCUCUAUCAAAAGAAACGUUUAACUCUGUGAGAUGAAUGCACACAUCACAAAGAAAUUUCUCAGACUGCUUCUGUCUAGAUAUUAUUUGAAGAUAUUUCCUUUUCUACUGUAGGCCACAAAGAGCUCCAAUUUCCACUUGUAGAUUGUACAAAAAGUGUGUUUCCAAACUGCUCAAUCCAAAGAAAGAUUCAACUCUGUGAGAUGAGCACAUGCAUCACAAAGAAGUUUCUCAGAAAUCUUCUGUCUAGUUUUUAAGUGAAGAUAUUUCGUUGUCCAACAUAGACCUCAGAACGCUCCAAAUGUCCACUUGCGGAUACUCCAAAAGGAGUGUUUCAAAACUGUUCAAUCCAAAGAAAGUUUUACCUCUGUGAGAUGAAUGUACAGUACUCCAAAUGUCCUCUUGCAGAUUCUACAAAAAGAGUGUUUCCAAACUGCUUAAUCAAAAGAAAGGUUCAACUGUGUGAGAUGAAUGCACACAUCACAAAGAAGUUUGUCAGAAUUCUUCUGUCUAGUUUUCAUGUGAAGAUAUUAACUUUUUCACCAUAGGCCACAAAUUGAUCCAAAUGUCCACUUGCAGAUUCUACAACAAGAGAGUUUCAAAACUCCUCUAUCAAAAGAAAGGUUUAAUACAGUGAGGUGAAUGCACAUAUCAUAAAGAAGUUUCUGAGAUUGCUUCUGUCUAGAUAUUAUGUGAAGAUAUUUUGUUCUCUACCAUAGGCUUCAAAGCGCUCCAAAUGUCCACUGACAGAUUCUACAAAAGGAGUAUUUCCAAACUGCUCAAAGAAAGUUUCAACUAUGAGAUGAAUGCACACAUCACAAAGAUGUUGUUCAGAAUUCUUCUGUCUAGUUUUUAUGUGAAGAUAUUGCCUUUUCCACCACAGGCCUCAAACUGCUCCAAAUGUCCACUUCCAGAUCCUACAAAAAAAGAGUUUCAAAACUGCUCAAUCAAAAGAAAGAUUUAACGCUGUGAGAUGAAUGCACAUAUAAGAUAGAAGUUUCUCAGAUUGCUUUUGUCUAGAUUUUAUGUGAAGAUAUUUCCUUUUCUACCUUAGGCCGCAAAGCGCUCCAAAUGUCCACUUGCAGAUUCUACAAAAAGAGUGUUUCCAAACUGCUCAAUCAAAAGAAAGGUUCAACUCUGUGAGAUGAAUGCACACAUCACAAAGAAGUUUCUCAGAAUUCUUCUUUCUAGUUUCUAUGUGAAGAUAUUUCCUUUUCCACCAUAGGCCUCAAAGCGCUCCAAAUGUAAACUUGCAGAAUCUACAAAGGAAGCGUUUCAAAACUGCCAAUCAAAAGAAACUUUUAACUCUGUGAGAUGAAUGCAUACAUCACAAAGAAGUUUCUCAGAUUGCUUCUGUCUAUUUUUUAUGUAGAGCUAUUUCCUUUUCUACCAUAGGCCCCAAAAUGCUCCAAAUGUCCACUUGCAGAUUUUACAAAAAGAGUGUUUCCAAACUGCUAAAUCAAAAGAAAGGUUCAAUUCUGUGAGAUGAAUGCACACAUCACAAAAAGUUUCACAGAAUUCUUCUGUCUAGUUUUUAUGGGAAGAAAUUACCUUUCCCACCAUUGGCCUCAAAGUGCUCCAAAUGUCCACUUGCAGAUUCUACAAAGAGAAUUUCAAAACUACUCAAAAGAAAGAUUUCACUCUGUGAGACGAAUGCACAUAUCACAAAGAAGUUCUCAGGUUGCUUCUCUUGAGCUUUUAUGUGAAGUUAUUUCCUUUUCUACCAUUGACCGCAAAGUGCUCCAAAUGUCCAACUGCAGAUUCUACUAAGAGUGUUUCCAAACUGCUCAAUCAAAAGAAAGAUUCAACUCUGUGAGAUGAACCUGCACAUUCCAAAGAAGUUUCUCAGAGUUCUUCUGUCUAGUUUUUAUGUGAAAAUAUUUCCUUUUCCACCGUAGGCCUCAAAGCACUAAAAAUGUGCAUUUGUAGAUUCUAUAAAAAGAGAGUUUCAAAACUGAUCAAUGAAAAGAAAGGUUUCCUCUUUGAGAUGAAUGCACAUAUAACAAAAAAUUUAUCAGAUUGCUUCUGUCUAGAUUUUAUGUGAAGAUGUUUCCUUUUCUACCAUAAGCCACAAAGCGCUCCAAAUGUCCACUUGCAGAUUCUUGAAAAAGAGUGUUUCCAACAGCUCAAUCAAAAGAAAAGUUCAACUCUGUGAGAUGAAUGAACACAUCACAAACAAUUUCUCAGAAUGCUUCUGUCUAGUUUUUAUUUGAACAUAUUUCCUUUUCCACAAUAAUCCUGAAAGCGCUCCAAACAUCCAAUUGCAGAUUCUACAAAAAGAGUGUUUCAAAACUGCUCAUCAAAAGAAAGGUUCAACUCUGUGAGAUUAAUGCACACAUCACAAAGAAAUUUCUCAGAAUUCUUCUGUCUAGCUUUAAUGUGAAGAUAUUUUCUAUUCCCCAAUAGGCCCCACAACAGGCCUCGAAGCCCUCCAAAUAUCCACCUGCAGACUCCACAAAAAGAGUGCUUCCAACUGCUCAAUCAAAAGAAAGGUUCAACUCUGUGAGAUGAAUGCACACAUCACAAAGAGGUUUCUCAGAAUUCUUCUGUCUAGUUUUUAUGUGAAGAUAUUUCCUCUUCCACUACAGGUCUCAAAGUGCCCCAAAUGUCCACUUUCAGAUUCUAGAAAAAGAGAGUUUCAAAACUGUUGAAUCAGAAGAGAGGUUUAACUCUGUGAGAUGAAUGCGCACAUCACAAAAGUAGUUUCUCAGAUUGCUUCUUUCUAGAUUUUAUGUGAAGAUAUUUCUUUUUCUACCAUAGGCUGCAAAGCGUUCCAAAUGUCCACUUGCAGAUUCUACAAAACGAGUGUUUCCAAACUGCUCAAUUAAAAGAAUGAUUCAACUCUGUGAGAUGAACACACACAUCACAAAGUUUCUGAGCAUUCUUCUGUCUAGUUUUUAUGUGAAGUUAUUUCCUUUUCCACCAUAGGCCUCUAUGCACUCCAAAUGUCCACUUGCAGAUUCUUGAAAAAGAGAGUUUCAAAACUGCUCAAUCAAAAAAAGGUUUAACUCUGUGAGAUGAAUGCACACAUAACAGAAAUGUUUCUCAGAUUGCUUCUGUCUAGAUUUUAUAUGAAGAUAUUUACUUUUCUACCAUAGGCCGCAAAGCACACAAAAUGUCCACUUUCAGAUACUCCAAAAAGAGUGUUUCCAAACUUCUCAAUGAAAAGAAAGUUUCAACUCUGAGAGACGAACGCUCACAUCACAAAGAAGUUUCACAGAAUUCUUCAGUGUAGUUUUUAUGUGAAGAUAUUUCCUUUUCCAUCACAGGUCUCAAAGCGCUCCAAAUGUCCACUUGCAGAUGCUACAAAAAGAGAGUUUCAAAACUCCUAAAUCAAAAGAAAGGUUUUACUCUGUGAGAUGAAUGCCCACAUCGUAAAGAAGUUUCUCAGAUUAGUUCUAUCGAGAUUUUAUAUGAAGAUAUUUCCUUUUCUACCAUAGGCAGCAAAUCGCUCCAAAUGUCCACUUGCAGAUUCUACAAAAAGAGUGUUUCCAAACUGCUCAAUAAGAAGAAAGGUUCAACUCUGUGAGAUGAAUGAGCACAUGAGAAAGACGUUUCUCAAAAUUCUUCUGUCUAGUUCUUAUGUGAAGAUACUUAUUCUUCCACCAUAGGCCGCAAAAUGCUCUAAAUGUCCACUUGCAGAUUCUACAAAAAGAGUAUUUCCAAGUUGCUCAAUCAAAAGAAAGGUUCAACUCUGUGGGAGGAACACACACAUCACAAAGAAGUUUCUCAGAAUUCUUCUGUGUAGUUUUUAUGUGAAGAUAUUACCUUUUCCACCAUAGGCCUCAAAUCGCUCCAAAUGUCCACUUGCAGAUUCUACAAAAAGAGAGUUUCAAAACUGCUCAAUAAAAAGAAUGGUUUAACUCUGAGAUAUAUGCACACACCACAAAGAAGUUUCUCAGAUUGCUUCUGUCUAGAUUUUAUGUGAAGAUAUUUCCUUUCCUACCAUAGGCUGCAAAGCCCUCCAAAUGUCCACUUGCAGGUUGUACAAAAAGAGUGUUUCCAAACUGCUCAAUCAAAAGAAAGGUUCAACUCUCUGAGAUGAACGCACACAUCACAAAGAAGUUUCUUAGAAUUCUUCUGUCUAGUUUUUAUGCGAAGAUAUUUCCUUUUCCAAAAUAGGCCUGAAAGCGCUCCAAAUGUGCACUUGCAGAUUCUACAAAAAGACAGUUUCAAAACUGCUUAAUCAAAAGAAAGGUUUAUCUCUCUGAGCUGAGUGCACACAUCGCAAAAAAUUUCUCAGAUUGCUUCUGUCUAUAUUUUAUGUGAAGAUGUUACCUUUUCUACCAUAGGCUACAAAGCACUCCAAAUGUCCACUUGCAGAUUCUACAAAAAGAGUGUUUCCAACAGCUCAAUCAAAAGAAAUGUUCACCUCUGUGAGAUGAAUGAACACAUCUCAAGCAAGUUUCUCAGAAUGCUUCUGUUUAGUUUUUAUUUGAAGAUAUUUCCUUUUCCACAAUAGUCCUGAAAGCGCUCCAAACAUCCACUUGCAGAUUGUACAAAAAGAGUGUUCCAAAACUGCUCAAUCAAAGAAAGGUUCAACUCUCUGAGAUUAAUGCACACAUAACAAAGAAGAUUCUCAGAAUGUUUCUAUCUAGUUUUAAUGUGAAGAUAUUUCCUAUUCCACAAUAGGCCCCACAAUAGGCAUCAAAGCCCUCCAAAUAUCCUCCUGCAGAUUCCACAAAAAGGAUGUUUCAAAACUGCCCAAUCAAAAGUAAGUUUCAACUGUGUGAGAUGAAUACACAUAUCACAAAGAAGGUUGUCAGAAUGCUUUGGUCUAGUUUUUAUCUGAAGAUAUCUCCUUUUCCACCAUAGUCCUAAAAGUGCUCCAAAUGUCCACAAGCACAUUGUACAAAAAGAGCAUUUCCAAACUGCUCAAUGAAAAGAAAGGCUCAGCUCUGUGAGAUGAAUGCACAGAUCACAAAGAAAUUUGACAGAAUGCUUCUGUUUAGUUUUUAUGUGAAGAUGUUUUCUUUUCCACCAGAGGCCUCAAAGCGCUCCCAAUGUCCACUUGCAGAUUUUAUGAAAGGAGUGUUUCAAAGCUACUCCAACAACAGAAAGGUUCAACUCUGUGAGUUGAAUGCACACAUCACAAAGAAGUUUCUGAGAAUGCUUCUGUCUAGUUAUUAUGUGAAGAUAUUUCGUUAUCCACCAUAGACCUCAAAGCACUCCAGAUGUCCACUUGCAGAUUCUGCAAAAAGAGUGUUUCAAAACUGCUCAAUUGAAAGUAAAAUUCAACUCUGUGAGAUGAAUUCACACUUCACAAAGAAACAUCUCGGAAUGCUUCUGUCUAGUUCUUAUGUGAAGAUAUUUCUAUUUCCACCAUAGGCCUCAAAGCGCCCCAAAAGUCCACUUGCAGAUUCUACAAAAAGAGAUUUUCAGAAUUGCUCAGUGAAAAGAAAAAGUUAACUCUGUGAGAUGAAUGCACACAUCACAAAGAAGUUUUUCAGACUGCUUCAGUCUAGAUGCUAUAUGAAGAUAUUUCCUUUUCUACCUUAGACAGCAAAGCGCUCCAAAUGUCCAAUUGCAGAUUAUACAAAAACAGUGUUUCAAAACUGUUCAAUCAAAAGAAAGGUUCAACACUGUGAGAUGAACGCACACAUCACAAUGAUGUUUCUCAGAAAUCUUCUGUCUAGUUUUUAUGUGAAGAUAUUUCCUUUUACACCAUAGGCCUCAAAGUGCUAAAAAUGUCAACUUGCGUUUUCUACAAAAACAGAGUUUCAAAACUGCACAAUCAGAAGAAAGGUUUAACUCUGUGAGAUGAAUAGACACAUCACAAAAAGUUUCUCAAAUUCCUUCUGUCUAGAUUUUAUGUGAAGAUAUUUUCUUUACUGCCAUAGGCUGCAAAGCGCUCCAAAGGUCCGCUAGCAGAAUCAUCAAAAAGAUUGUUUCCAAAAUGCUAAAUAAAAGAAAGUUUCGACUCUGUGAGAUGACCGCAUAAAUCACAAAGAAGUUUCUCAGAAUUCUUCUGUCUAGUUAUUAUGUUAAGAUAUUCUCUUUUCCAGGAUAGGCCUCAAACCGCUCCAAAGGUCUACUUGCAGCUUCUACAAAUGAGAGUUUCAAAACUGCUCAAUCCAAAGAAAGGUUUAACAUGGUGAGAUAAAUGCACACAUCACAAAGAAGUUUCUCAGAUUCCUUCUGUCUAGAUUUUAUGUGAGGAUAUUUCCUAUUCUACCAUAGCACACAAAGCGCUUUAAAUGUCCACUUGCAGAUUCUUCAAAAAGAGUAUUUCAAAACUGGUCCUUCAAAGGAAAGAUUCAACUCUGGGAGGUGAAUGCACACAUCACAAAGAAGUUUCUCAGAAUGCUUCUAUCUAGUUUUUAUAUGAAGAUAUUACCUUUUCCACAUUGGCCUCAAAGUGCUCAAAAUGUCCACUUGCAGAUUCUACAAAAAGAGUGUUUCCAAACUGCUCAAUCAAAAGAAAGGUUCAACUCUAUGAGAUGAACACACACAUCACAAAUAAGUUUGUCAUAAUGCUUCUGUCUAGAUUUUAUGUGAAGAUAUUUAAUUUUCCAUAAUAGGCCUCAAAGUGCUCCAAUGUCCACUUGCAGAUUCUACAAAAAGAGUGUUUCAAAGCUGCUCAAUCAAAAGAAAGUUACAACUCUGUGAGAUGAAUGCACACAUCACAAAGAAGCUUGUCAGGAUGCAUCUGUCUAAUUUUUAUGUGAAAAUAUUCCCUUUUCCACCAUAGGCCUCAAAGUGCUCCAAAUGUCCACUUGCAGAUUCUACAAAAAGCGUGUUUCAAAGCUGCUCAAUCAAAAGAAAGUUUCAAGUCUGGGAGAUGAAUGCACACAUCACAAGGAAGUUUGUGAGAAUGCUUCUGUCUAGUUUUCAUGUGAAGAUCUUUCCUUUUCCACCAGAGACCUCAAGGCGCUCCAAAUGUCCACUUGCAGAUUCUACAAAAAGAGAGAUGCAAGACUGCUCAAUGAAAAGUAACGUUCAAUUCUGUGAGGUGAAUGCACACAUCACAAAGAAGAUUCUCAGAAUUUUUCUGUCUAGUUUUUAUGUGAAGAUGUUUCAUUUUCCACCAUAGACCCCAAGACGCUCGAAUGGUUCACUUGCAGAUUCUACAAAAAGAUUGUUUCAAAGCUGCUCAAACAAAGGAAAGGUUCAACUCUCUGAGAUGAAUGCACAUGUCACAAAGAAGUUUUUCAAAAAGCUUCUGUCUUGUUUUGAUGUGAAGAUAUUUUCUUUUCCACCAUAGGCCUCAAAGUGCUGCAAAUGUCCACUUCCAGAUUCUACAGAAAGAGUGUUUCAAAGCUGCUCAAUGAAAAGUAAGGUUCAACUCUGUGAGAUGAAUGCACACAUCACAAAGAAGUUUGUCAGAAUGCUUCUGUCUAGGUUUUAUGUGAAGAUAUUUCCUUUUCCAUGAUAGGCCCCAAAGCACUCCACAGGUCCAGUUGUAGAUUCUACAAAAAGAAUGUUUCAAAGCUGCUCAAUCAAAAGAAACGUUCAUCUCUGUGACAUGAAUGCACACAUCACAAUGAAAUUUAUCAGAAUGCUUCUGUCUAGUUUUUUUGUGAAAAUAUUUCCUUUUCCACCAUAGGCCUCAAAGUGCUCCAAAUGUCCACUUGUAGAUUCUACAAACAGAGUGUUUAAAAACUGCUAAAUGAAAAGAAAGAUUCAACUCUGUGAGAUGAAUACACACAUCACGAAGAAGUUUGUCAGAAUGCUUCUGUCUAGUUUUUAUAUGUUGAUAUGUCCUUUUCCACAAUAGGCCAGAAAGUGCUCCAAAUGUCCACUUGCAGAUUCAACAAAAAGAGUGUUUCAAAGCUGCUCAAUGUAAAGAAAGGUUCAACACUGUGAGCUGAAUGACCACAUCUCAAAGAAGUUUGUAAGAAUGCUUCUGUCUAGUUUUUAUGUGAACAUAUUUCCUUUUCCACCAUAGGCCUCAAAGGGCUCCACAUGUCCUCUUGCUGAUUCUACAAAAAGAGGGUUUCAAAGCUGCUCAAUUAAAAGAACAGUUCAACUCUGUGUGAGAUGAAUGCAAACAUCACAAAGAAGUUUCUCAUAAUGCUUCUGUCUAGUUUUGUUGGGAAGAUAUUUCCUUUUCCACCAUAUGCCUCAAAGCGCUCCAAAUGCACACUUGCAGAUUCUACAAAAAUGGUGUUUCAAAACUGACCAAUCAAAAGUAAGGUUCAACUCUUUGAGAUGAAUGCAGACAUCACAAAGUAGUUUUUCAGAAUGCUUCUGUCCAGUUUUUAUGUGAAGAUAAGUCCUUUUCUACUAUAGGCCUCAAAGCACUCGAAAUGUACACUUGCAGAUUCUACAAAAAGUGUGUUUCAAAGCUGCUCAAUCAAAAGAAAGGUUCAAUUCUGUGAGAUGAAUGCAUGCAUCAUGAAGAAGUUUGUCAGAAUGCUUUUGUCUAUUUUUUUUUUUUUUUGUGAGCAACAAGGCUGUUUAUUUCACCUGAGUGCAGGUGGGCUGAGUCCAAAAAGAGAGCAAAAGGUGAUUGGAUUAUCAUUAGUUCUUAUAGGUUUUGGAAUAGGCAGUGGAGUUAGGAGCAAUGUUUUGCGGGCAGGAGUUGGAUCUCACAAAGUACAUUCUCAAGGGUGGGGAGAAUUACAAAUUACAAAGAACCUUCUCAAAGGUGAGGGAGAUUAAAAAGAACUUUCUUAAGGGUGGGGGAGAUUACAAAAUACAUCAGUUAGUGUGAAGCAGAAACAAAACACAAUGGUGGAAUGUCAUCAGUUAAGGCUAUUUUCACUUCUUUUGUGGAUCUGGGACGUGAGGAGUGCCUCUGCCUGGACGCCCAUUGUCUGGGAUGUGAGGAGCGCCUCUGCCCGGCCGCCCCAUCUGGGAAGUGAGGAGCUCCUCUGCCUGGCCACCCCGUCUGAGAAGUGAGGAGCGCCUCUGCCCGGCCGCCCCAUAUGGGAAGUGAGGAGCGCCUCUGCCUGGCCACCCUGUCUGGGAGGUCUACCACAGAGGCCAGACGCAGUGUGGGGGCUGGACGUGGUGGCUCACGCCUGUAAUCCCAACACUCUGGGAGGCCAAGGUGGGUUGAUCACUUGGGGCUAGGGGUUCGAGACCAGCCUGGUCAACAUGGCAAAACAUAUGAAAAUUACAACAAACCAAACAACCAAUCAACCAACCCAGCAACAACAAAACAGGUCUACCCUGGAGUCAUACUCUAAAUUUUUCUAUUUUCCUCCCUUUCUGAUCCUUUAUCCCACUUUCUUUUUCUUCCUCUUCCUUCUCCUUCUUGUCAAAGACAUAGAGGAUUGAGUUAUUAUCAUUGAUCAAUACAAAGUCCCUCUCUCAUUUAUUUUCUUUCAUUCCCACCCCCCAUUUCUAUUCCCCAUCUUCCUGUGUGCAACCUUCCUAAUAUGUUUGAUAUGCUUCUUUUUGUAUAUAUUUUUAGAAAAUGUUAAAUAAAAAAAAUUUAAGAAAGCCCUGCAAAAGCAGGAAAGCUGAACUGGCUGCUGAGCCCCUUCUGGUUGGCCACACAGUACCCACAACUGUAGCCCCUGGACUCCUAGUGUGGGCUAAGGUGGAGUGGACCCUCUGGCUUGGUCACAGUGCAAUGGGCCACCUGGAAACUAUCCAAAAGAGAAGACCUACCAGCCCGUGCCCUAGGUGCAGCUGCCACCCGCACAUCAGGCACCAGCAGCAAUGGCCAGACCAUCCCUGAUUCUCCAUGCCCUCCCCAUCCCCACGUCAACAGCAAGGAAUCCCUGACAGGAUGCUGCAGUAGUGGCUGUCAGGAAGUCGGCUGGGCAGGUGCAUAACGAUAAAGAUAGACUCUCAGCCCCAUCCCUAUGGCCACGAUGUGCUCAUCCCCUGGCGGCUCCUCAGCCCUAUCCUAGUGGCCACGGAGUGGCAUGCAGGCAGCAGCCUUGGGAACCCCGAUUGCCCGUCCUCACACGUGCCCAUCACAAGACUUGGGCGACGGGGAGGUGAAGUCAGACUGUGUCCCCAGCGGCACCACAAGGCCGAGAACCGGCACUCAGCCUCAACCCCGUGACUGCAGGGUGCCAAGUGCCAGGUCCUGCGCUCUGGGCAUGGGUCAGGAGCAGCUGGCAAGGGCAGCACAGCCUGUGGGGCCCUUGGGCAUGGCCAGCCGCAGCUCCGGGAAGCCACUGCAGCUCCGGGAAGCCACGUCAGCCCACGGGCACUGCAGCUGCAGCUGCCACCAGCACAUGGAGCAGGGGUCACUGAGGAUUGGGAAUCCCCGACCAGGCUAGCGCCUCCAGCCGCGCAGACCCCGGGGGCCAGCCCAGCCGCGGCAAGUCAGGUAGUCUGCGGCAGGAGCGCCGGACAUGGGUUUUGGCCCGGGGUGCAGGAGGCAUGCACCCUCUGGCCAGAUGGGUGGUGCACUCAGGGCCCAGGAGGCCAUCCCAGGGGAACCCCGCCAGCCUCUGCCAGAGCUCAAGCUGAAGCUGCCACCUGCAAGUGGUGCGCUGGCUGCAGCGGUGGCAACCCCAGAUCCCAUCCUCCCACCUCACGCCCAUCAGCGCAGACCCCAGGGGUGACGCAGUGACGAAGUAGGGCUGUGGUCCCAGUGGCAGCACCAGGCGGAGAAGCACCACUCAAUCCCAUCCCUGGGCUGCAGAGGGCCCAGCGUGGGGGGCUCCGAGCAUCGGGAGCCAGUGGAAGAGGAGAAGAGCACGUGGGCGACAGUCAAACAGGCCCUGGGGCAGGGUGUGCCUCAUGCUCCAGGGAGCCCCGCCAGCCCGAGGCACCUGAGCAGCAAUCGCCGCCUGCACUGGGUGCCACGAGAGAGCUGCUAGGGCGGUUUCUCCACCUCGGGCCUGUUGCUCGGGACCAGCUAAGGUGCACAUGCUCGCUGGUCCUGACCAUUCUGUUGGGCAUUUCUGCUGAGAGGCGGGAGGUGCUGAGAGUCUCUGCGAAGGUCCAUGGACAGACUGCAUUGCUUGUUGUUGUGCUUCGGAGGCGGCGAUCCCCGAAGGCGAGCUGAAAUAUAGCUGGAGCGUUCCCAGGCUACAAUUUGCAGUGACGAUUAUGGAAGAUGAGCCGGAGUGGUGGCCCACCCUCAGGGAGCACUUGUGCUCGUAUGGCUUCUCAUUUCCCCAGUACCAUAUUAAAUCAUCUCAUCUGAGGAGGAUCCACAGAGCUGUCUUCUGUGGUAAUCUGGAGAAAGUGAAAUACCUUUGUCUGAGUAGUUGUCGACUUUGUUUCCACAUUAACUGGCUGUUUUGUUGUGGCUGCACUUCUGUUUCAUUACCUUCAUCUUGCAGGACGGAGUCUUGGCCGCAGACUGAGCCUGUACCUCACCCGUCUCCCACCGACUCUUGGUACUGGCCAUGGCCAUGCUGGGCAGCUCUAUGGAGGCCUGGUGGGCUACCUUGGGGGUUCAGUCAGUGAUCCUUUCACAGCUGGGGAGUGGAGACUGGGCCUGUGGUGGUGCUGUGUGCCUCCCAGCGCCUGGGGCGGUGCUCUGCACCUCCCGGUGCCUGCGGCGGUGCUGUGCCUUUUGUCUACUUUUUAUAUGAAGAUAUUUCCUUUUCCACCAUAGGCCUCCAAUUGCUCCAAAUGUCCGCUUACAGAUUCUACAAAAACAGUGUUUCAAAACUGAUCAAUGAAAAGUAAGGUUCAACUCUGUGAGAUUAAUGCACACAUCACAAAGAAGUUUGUCAGAAUGCUUCUGUCUCGUUUUUAUGUGAAGAUAUUUUCUUUUCUUCUAUAGCCUUCAAAGUGCUCCAAAUGUCCACUGACAGAUUCUCCAAAAAGAGUGUAUCAAAGCUGCUCAAUCUAAAGAAAUGUGCAACUCCGUGAGAUGAAUGCAUACAACUCAAAGAAGUUUGUCAGAAUGCUUCUGCUUAGUUUUUAUGUGAAGAUAUUUCCUUUUCCACAAUAAGGCUCAAGGCACUCCAAAUGUCUACCUCCAGAUACUACAAAAAUAGUGUUUCAAAACUGCUCAAUGAAAAGUAAGGUUAAACUCUGUGAGAGGAAUGCACACAUCACAAAGAAGUUUGUCAGAAUGCUUCUAUCUAGUUUUUCAUGUGAAGAUAUUUCCUUUUCCACCAUAGACCACAAAGUGCUCCAAAUAUCCACUUGCAGAUUCUACAAAAAGAGUGUUUCAAAACUGCUCUAUCAAAAGAAUGGUUCGACUCUGUUAGUUGAGUACACACAUCACAAACAUGUUUCUAAGAAUGCUUCUGUCUAGUUUUUAUGGGAAGAUAUUUCCUUUUUCACCACAGGCCACAAAGCUCUCCAAAUGUCCACUUUGAGAUACUACAAAAUGAGUGUUUCAAACCUGCUCUAUGAAAGGAAUGUUCAACUCUGUGUCUUAAAUGCAAACAUCACCAAGAAAUUUCUGAGAAUGCUUAUGUCUACUUUCUAAAUGAAGCUAUUCCCGUUUCCAACGAAAUCCUCAAAGCUAUGCAAAUAUCCACAUGAAGAUUCUACAAAAAGAGUGUUUCAAAACUGAUGUCUCAAAAGAAAGUUUCAAUUCCAUUAGCUGAGUACACACAAAACAAACAAGUUUCUGAGAAUGCUUCUGUCAACUUUUUAUGGGAAGAUAUUUGCUUUUUCACCAUAGGCUUCAAAGCGCCCCAAUUGUUUACUUACAGAUACUACAAAAAGAGUGUUUCAAACCUGCUCUAUGAAAGGAAAUGUCCAACUCUGGAGCUUGUAUGCAAACAUCACAAAGAUGUUUCUGAGAAUCCUUCUGUGUAGAUUUUACAUGAAGAUAUUCCCGUUUCCGACGAAAUUCUCAAAUCUAUGCAAAUAUCCACAUGCAGAUUCUACAAAAAGAGUGUUUCAAAACUGCUCUAUGAAAAGACAUGUUCAACUCCGUUACUUGAGUACACACAUCACAGACAAGUUUCUGAGAAUGCUUCUGUCUAGUUUUCAUGGGAUGAUAUAUCCUUUUUCAAAAUAGGCCUCAAAGUGCUCCAAAUGUCCACUUCCAGAUACUACAAAAAGAGUGUUUCAAACCUGCUCUAUGAAAGGAAGGUUCAACUCUGUGACUUGCAUGGAAACGUCACAAAGAAGUUUCUGAGAAUGCUUCUGUCUACUUUUUAAACGAAGAUAUUCCCAUUUCCAACGAAAUCCUCAAAGCUAUGCAAACAUCCACUUGCAGAUUCUACAAAAAGAGUGAUUCAAAACUGCUCUAUCAAAAGAAAGGUUCAACUCUGUUAGUUGAGUACAAACAUGACAAACAAGUUUCUGAGAAUGAUUCUGUCUAGUUUUUAUGGGAAGAUGUUUCCUCAUUCACCACAGGCCUCAAAGCGCUCCAAAUUUCCACUUCCGGAUACUACAAAAAGAAUGUUUCAAACCUGCUCUAUGAAAGGGAAGGUUCAAAUCUGUGACCUGAAUGCAAACAUCAGAAAGAAGUUUCUGCGAAUGCUUCUGUCUACUUUUUAUAUUGGCAUUCCCAUUUCCAACGAAAUCCUCAAAGCUAUCCAAAUAUCCACUUGCAGAUUCUAUAAAAAGAUUUUUUCCAAACUGUUCUAUCAAAAGAAAGGUUCAACUCUAUUAGUUGGGUACACACAUAAUAAACAAGUUUCUGAGAAUGCUUCUGUGUAGUUUUUAAGGGAAGAUAUUUCCUUUUUCACCAUAAGCCACAGAGCUCUCCAAAUGUCCACUUCCAAAUACUACAAAAAAAGUGUUUCAAACCUGCUCUAUGAAAGGGAAUGUUUAACUCUGUGACUUGAAUGCAGACAUCACAAAGAUGUUUCUGAGAAUGCUUCUGUAUAGAUUUUAUAUGAAGAUAUUCCCAUUUCCAACGAAAUCCUCAAAGCUAUCCAAAUAACCACUUGCAGAUUCUACAAAAAGUCUGUUUCGAAACUGCUCUAUCAAAAGAAACGUUCAACCCUGCUAGUUGAGUACACACAUCGCAAACAAGUUUCUGAGAGUUCUUCUGUUUAUUUUUAUGGGAAGAUGUUUCCUUUUUCACAGUAGGACUCAAAGCGCUCCAAAUGUCCACUUCCAGAUACUACGAAAAUUGUGUUUCAAACCUGCUCUAUGAAAGAGAAUGUUCAAAUCUGUGACUUGAAUGCAAACAUCACAAAGAAGUUUCUGAGAAUGCUUCCACUUUUUAUAUGAAUAUAAUACGUUUCCAACGAAAUCCUCAAAGCUAUCCAAAUAUCCACUUGCAGAUUCUACAAAAAGAGUGUUUCAAAACUGCUCUAUCAAAAGAAAGGUUCAACUCUGUUAGUUGAGUACACACAUCACAAACAAGUUUCUGAGAAUGCUUCUGUCUAGUUUUUAUGCGAAGAUAUUUCCUUUUUCACCAUAGGCCACAAAGCGUUCCAAGUGUCCAGUUCUAGAUACUACAAAAACAGUGUUUCAAACCUGCUCUAGGAAAGUGAAUGUUCACUUCUGUGACUUGAAUGCAAACAUCAUGAAGAUGUUUCUGAGAAUGCGUCCUUCUAGAUUUUAUGUGAAGAUAUUCCCUUUCCCAACGAAAUCCUCAAUCUAUCCAAAUAUCCACUUGCAGACUCUACAAAAAGAGUGUUUCAAAACUGCUCUAUCAAAAGAAAGGUUCAACUCUGUUAGUUGAGUACACACAUCACCAACAAGUUUGUGAGAAUGCUUCUGUCUAGAUUUUAUAUGAAUAUAUUCCCAUUUCCAACGAAAUCCUCAAAUCUAUCCUAAUAUCCACUUGCAGAUUCUGCAAAAAGAGUGUUUCAAAACUGCUCUAUCAAAAGAAAGGUUCAACUCUGUUAGUUGAUUACACACAUCACAAACAAGUUUCUGAGAAUGUUUCUGUCUAGUUUUUAUGGGAAGAUAUUUCCUUCUUCACUAUAGGCCAAAUAGCGCUCCAAAUGUCCAGUUGCAGAUACUACAAAAAGAGUGUUUCAAACCUGCUCUAUGAAAGGGAAUGUUCAACUCUGUGACUUCAAUGCAAACAUCACAAAGAAGCUUCUGAGAAUUCUUCUGUCUAGAUUUUAUAUGAAGAUAUUCCCUUUCCAACGAAAUCCUCAAAGCUCUCGAAAUAUCCACUUGCAGAUUCUACAAAGAGUGUUUCAAAACUGCUCUAUCAAAAGAAAGGUUCAUCUCUGUUAAUUGAGUACACACAUCACAAACAAUUUUCUGAGAAUACUUCUGUCUGGUUUUUUUUUUAUGCUUUUAUUUUUAGGGUACCUCUGCACAUUGUGCAGGUUAGUUACAUAUGUUUACAUGUGCCAUGUUGGUGCUCAGCACCCACUAACUCGUCAUCUAGCAUUAGGUAUAUCUGCCGAAGCUAUCCCUGCCCCCUCCCCCCACCACACAACAGUCCCCAGAGUGUGACAUUCCCCUUCCUGUGUCCAUGUGACCUCAUUGUUCAAUUCCCACCCAUGAGUGAUAAUAUGCGGUGUUUGGUUUUUUGUUCUUGUGAUAGUUUACUGAGAAUGAUGAUUUCCAAUUUCAUCCAUGUCCCUACAAAGACAUGAACUCAUCAUUUUUUAUGGCUGCAUAGUAUUCCAUGGUGCAUAUGUGCCACAUUUUCUUAAUCCAGUCUAUCAUUGUUGGACAUUUGGGUUUGUUCCAAGUCUUUGCUAUUGUGAAUAAUGCCGCAAUAAACAUAGUGUGCAUGUGUCUUU